UCACGUCUUACGACGGCAGUUUCACUAGAGUUCCCAGCGUUACCUGAUGGCAACUAGUGAUGGGGGUUGCGCUCGUUGCGGGACUUAACCCAACAUCUCACGACACGAGCUGACGACAGUCAUGCAGCACCUGAACCGGCAGUCCCCGAAGGGAAAACUCCAUCUCUGGAGCGGUCCACCGUUGUCUAACCCAGGUAAGGUUCUUCGCGUUGCGUCGAAUUAAACCACAUGCUCCACCGCUUGUGCGGGCCCCCGUCAAUUCCUUUGAGUUUUAAUCUUGCGACCGUACUCCCCAGGCGGGAAGCUUAAUGCGUUAGCUGCGCCACUGACGAGUAAACCCGCCAACGGCUAGCUUCCAUCGUUUACGGCGUGGACUAC
rnacentral:misc_RNA from 1 species